rnacentral:rRNA from 1 species
AUACGGAGGGUGCAAGCGUUAAUCGGAAUUACUGGGCGUAAAGCGCGCGUAGGCGGUUAUGUCAGUCGGAUGUGAAAGCCCCGGGCUCAACCUGGGAAUUGCAUUCGAUACUGCAUGGCUAGAGUUUGGUAGAGGCUAGCGGAAUUCCAGGUGUAGCGGUGAAAUGCGUAGAUAUCUGGAGGAACAUCAGUGGCGAAGGCGGCUGGCUGGAACCAAAACUGACGCUGAGGUGCGAAAGCGUGGGGAGC